ensembl:processed_transcript 9330154J02Rik RIKEN cDNA 9330154J02 gene
GGCUGGCGGGCGAAGGCGCCCGCGGGGAGCACGGUCAUCUGGUUGCCGGUAAGGAAAAGGUUGCGCACGUAAGGCGGUAGAUCCGCCGGCACCUCCAGCAGGUUGCGGUUCACGCACUUAACCGUGCGCGCCGCCUCGGAGCACUCGCACGCCGCGGGGCAUCUCUCGGCUGGCGGAGGCUGCGCAGACCCCGAGGCCAGGAAGGCUGCCGGGGAGGUGGAAGACGAGGGUACCGAAGAGCUGGGGGCCGACGCGGAGACCCAACCCAGCAGCACUAGCGCCAGCCUUGCCAACCUCAGCCGUCCGUCCCCGGCGGAGGGGCCCCGGGAGCCCGCCCCAGGCAUCGCGGCUCGCGGUUCCCCGGAGCUGGGACAGCGCCCGCUCCGAAGACUCGACCGCCUGGGCCCGGCGGGCGCGAGCCGGCCGCAAGCGUCGACGGCAAACUUUCCUCGCGUGGGAGCAGAGGAGGGGACGCCAAAAGCUGGAACUUGGCUAACCCCGAGCCACCGGGCGUCCCCCUCCCGGAGCGGCACCCCGCCCUUCCCUCCAGUGAGUACGCACGGCGGGUCGGGACACGGGCCUUGGCGCUCCUCCUCCCGCCGCAGCUGGGGUGGGUGGCACCUCCUCAACUCCUUUGUUGGCGCCUCUCUCAGGGCAGGAUCGGAUGAGCGACCUGGGACAAGCGGGAGAGAAGCGUGAGGAGGAGUGACGGCCUCAGCUCUCAGAGUACGAACCAAGUUGUCCCCACACUAGCAACCCGGCCCAAGCUUCUGUGUGCGUCCUUCCUCCCUAGUGGGACGCGGUCCCCACUCCCAGGCGCUAAGCCUACCUCUUCCGGGCCCACACCAUCAGGACCCGGGCCACCUCCCGCCUGGCUCCUGCCCGGAUUGCCCUCCUCCCGCCUAGAACUUCACGCAGACCCCGCGGUGUCCAGCGAGCAAACUUCUCCCUUUUCCGGAUCCCAGCUCCUACCGCCCCGGCCGACCACCUGCCUUCCGGGGUCCCCGCCCCCGCCGCUCCUCCCCCUCCCACCUUGGGAUGAGAGCGAAGUUUCGGGUUACGGGACUCUUAAGAGCUUUUUUUUUUUUUUUUUUUUUUUUUUUUUUGGUACCUCCUUGGAUUAGUGUGAAAAGGGGAGCAGAGCCGUACAGCUGUCGCCUACUCUCGACUCCCCAGUUCCUGGCCACCCAGCUCCCCGAUCCCGAGAGGAUCCAGACAUCUCCAGAAAAACGGAGGGAACCCGCCAACAAAGCGGCCGUGGGACCGUGGGCGGUGUGGCAGCCAGGACCCCCCCCCCGGCUCUCUUCACGCCCUAGUAUAGAAAGGAACCCUGGUCCCGCCUCCAGGCUCCAAGCCUGGCCGCUCGGUCCCCACUGCUCACCUCCGCACCCCGCGCCUGCAAAGCCAACUCCGAGGGCCACCCGAGUCCACGCGCCUUCCCAGCUCCUGCUGCGGGCGCCGACUCUCCUCUCACCCCAGCCCCUGGCCCAACCUCCACGGCUGGGAAAAACCAAGCCGGGGGGCGGGGGAGGGCCAGGGCUGCAGGAGAGAUCGCCGCCGCGCUGGCCACCUCUGCUGCCCCAGGUAGGGGCUUCAGGGAGGGAUACGAGGGGCAACCUAGGCUGGGCGACUCCCCCAGGCGGAGAUAAAUGAGCAACGCAUCCCGAGAAGCGCAGGUGGAAGCAGAAGGAGCAGAAGUUCCAGCUCACCUUCGGCUACGAGAUGACUUUGAGAUGACCUGGAGAAAGACCCUGUCUUGAAACAAUCCCAGAAAGAAGAGCAGGCUGAGCCAUUGUCAAGCCAGCUCAUCAGACAGAUCACUGGAAGAAAAAAACCUGACAAGACGCCGCAAGAAAAGGAAACCACAGAGCGCGACCACGUAUGAUUGUAGAUGUAACAUCCUUCCGCUAAAUUAAACCUAAUCAAACCCAGAGACAAGCAAAAAUGACUGUAAUCCAUGACUACGCAGGAUUCACAUCUAGGAAUACAAGGAUGCUUAAAUGAAAAGAAAUUGACUGUGGCAAUACAAAUUACCAAUGGAAACAAAAGAAAACAAACAAACAGACAGAAACAAAAUAUGGCCAUACCAUCUGAUGUGGUAGAGUAUUUAGCAAUAUUCACCAUCCAGUCUGAUAAAAGAAAACACCCUGCCUAAUAUAAAUGAAAGAAGUCCCUAUUCUGGUUAAGAGUACCAGAAACCAAACUAAUACCACAAAGAGCACACCUACAAUGGCAUGUAAUGGCAGGAGAUAUGAUUUCCUGUUAUACUGAUGAUGCACAGGGGAGAAUAUGCUGCAGCCUUAAACAUUCAUAAAAUGAAGAGUUAUAUUUUUAAUUUCUUGUGAUUUUUUUUAUAUAAUAAAAAGUCACAUUGUCAGAGAAUAGAGUUGGUCUGUCUCCUCCUGCCUAGUCUGACUGCCUCAUGUUCUUGCCUGAUUGUCUUAUGUGGCAUGCCCAAUACAAUCUUGAAAAAAAGCUAGGUAAGAGCAGACAUCCUUGUUUUGGUAUUUACUAUCAUGUGAAACCAUUCUGUCUUUAAGCAUUAAAUGUUAUCUUAGCUGUGGAGUUUU